rnacentral:misc_RNA from 1 species
AACGCACAUUGCGCCCCUUGGUAUUCCAUGGGGCAUGCCUGUUCGAGCGUCAUCUACACCCUCAAGCUCUGCUUGGUGUUGGGCGUCCUGUCCCGCCUCCGCGCGCGGACUCGCCCCAAAUCCAUUGGCAGCGUUCCCCUGCCCCCCCUCUCGCGUAGCACGAAUACGCAUGUGGAGGGGGGCGGAUCCCGGGAGCGCGACCCACCCCCAAGAUGACCACCGUCUUUGACCUCGGAUCAGGUAGGGAUACCCGCUGAACUUAA